GACAAAAUUGACUUUUGUGAGACAAAAUUGACUUUUGUGAGACAAAAUUCAAUUUUGUCUCACAAAAGUCAAUUUUGUAUGCAAAUUU
rnacentral:sRNA from 1 species